UUUUNUCAUAUACCGGUCAUGAAAGGAUUUAGGUCUGCUGCAUCUCCGUAUGUUUUCUAUAUCACCGCGAUGUUCAUACCUCUUUAAAAAUAUAUCAACGGGUCUUUGUUUAAUGCCGGUCAGUCUGACUAUUUCACUUUUUCGGUAACCUGCAUCAUUUAAUGCAGCGAAAUCACUUUUCUGAUAAGAUAUCAGUUCUUUUCCCCUUCGACCCAUUUUGUUUACAAGACAAGGUUGAUGCCAUCACGCACGUGUCACAUGACAACCACAUGUUUUUCUACAUUUAAAUUUAGAUUCACUGUUAUACCGAUUGUGACAUGGAGACGACGCAAAUUGUUGUUUUUACAAAUACUUAAGGCUGAAUACUGUAUAAAUGGUACAUUUAUGUUCAAUUAAAACAGCUUUACAUAAAAGCCCUGAUUUAUUUUUCUGCAAACUUUGUCACUUAGGUUGACUUAGUAAGGACUUUCUUUGCAAAAUAAAAAUGUUGUUUUAUUGGAAAUUGCUUAUUGAUGAGAUGUGUUACGGGCCCACUUUUUUCAGUCAAUAGUUUCCAACAAAAUUAUACCACCCACACAGUGCCGUUAUAUUAGUUAGAGUUAUUGUACAAUUGAUUAUCUUGAUAUUGAUGUUUUGCUUUUUUACUAACGGUCAUUCGAAUAUUCCUGCUAAAAAGAAGUCGUCGAAAUGUUAGCUUCCUCUUUUCAGAUAUUAUUCGACGAGUUUGAAAAUUAUUCUGAAAUUAAAAAUAAAAAGUAUACAAUAAUUGUUUAUAGAUGAAGUAAGUAAUCAAUGUAUAAGGUAAAAAAAAACAGUGCGCACUUUAUAACUUUUUCGGUUAUUUUUUUUUACAAAAAAUUAUCAACAACUAAGAAUGCAGUUAUAGUUGUUCGAAUGAGUUUAGCAACUUAUUUUGUGAAAUGUGAUUGUAUAAUUGUGAUAUUCUUUGAAAACGUCUUUUCAUAACAGCGCUGAUUUGUAUUUCUUCACACUUUGUCCCUAGUUUCAACUUUUGAAACACUUUUCUUGCAAUAGAAAAACGUUGCUUAAUUCGAUAUUGCUUAUUGAUCAGAUGUUUUACGUACGUAUUUUUUUUUUCGUCAAUUUUUCAACAAAAUUAAAUCACAACACACAGUGCCGUUAUGUUAGGUAGAAUAAAUGUAAAGUUGAUUAUCAUGAUAUUGAUGUCCCGCUUUUUUCUAACGGUCAUUUGAAUAUACCUGUUAAAAAAGUCGCCGAAAUUUUUGCUUCUACUUUUGUGAGAUUAUUCGACAAGUUUGAAACUUUUUUUCUGAAAUUAACAAUAAAACUAAGUCAAUAAUUGUAAAUUGAUGAAAUAAGUUAUCAAUGUAUAAUAGAAAACGGUGCAUACUUUAUAAUUUUUUCAUUAGGCUUUUGUUCAAAAUAAUGAACAGCUAACAAUGCAGUUCUUUUUGUUCGAAUGGGCUAACAACUAAUUGUGUGAAAUGUGAAGGUAUAAUUAUAAAUGCGGUUCGUGUUGUUUAUUCUUUAGUUUUCUAUGUUGUAUCAUGUGUACUAUUGUUUGUCUGUUUGAACUUUUUAUUUUUAGCCAUGGUGUUGUCAGUUUAUUUUCGAUUUAUGAGUUUGACUGUCCCUCUUGUAUCUUUCGUUCCUCUUUUAUUAUGUUCAUUGAAAACAUCUUUUCAAAUAAUGAAUUAAACACAUCAAGUAGUGUAGAAUCGUCAAAUUUUAUAACAUCAUCACGUAAUGUUAAAACCAUAUAAAGAAUAGGCAAAUCAUCAUUACGAAAUAACAAAACCACAUCAUGUAAUGAAACAACUACAUAACGUUAAGUCAUAUUCACAUCAAGUAAUGUUCAAACCAUAUUGACUAAUGACACAACCACAUCGAGUAGUGACAAAACCAUAUUGAGAAAUGACAAAACCAUAUUGAGUAAUUACAAAAUGAUAUCAAGUCAAUACGAAAUCAUAACGUGUAAUAUCAAAACUUCAUUAAGUAAUGUCAAAACCAUAUUAAGUAAAGACAAAAUAUCAUUAAGUAAUAGUAAAACAACAUAAAGUAAUAUCAGAGUUCCACAUAAGCCAGCUGUGGCGUUCCAUAGUUUUACGUGCCUAAUUUUUUUUGUCAAUAUUUUCAACAAAAUUAGACCACACCACACAGUGCCGAUAUAUAAGUUACAAUAAAUGUAAAAUUGAUUACCUUGAUAUUGAUGUUUCGCUUUUUUCCUAAUGGUCAUUCGAAUAUACCUGCAAACAAAAGUCGCCGAAAUAUUUGUUUCCUUUUUUGUGAGAUAAUCGACGUCGAGUUUAAAAACUCUUCUGAAUUUAACAAUCAUUGACCACACUUUGUUGUCAAUUAUGUCAAAGUAUUUUAAGGCAUUUAUGUUCCCGUCAAUGACAGUUAUAAUUCCCACGUCAUUGUAAUUAAUACACCCCCAGAUCAUCAAACAAUAGUUGCGCUGAGACGGAAGGAAAAUACAAUCCAUCAACCACUCUUCCCCGACCUUCUCUAGACAUUGGGUGAAGAAUUUUGCCGUAUGACUACCUUUCACUUAUCGUUGAAUAUCCAUGUACUCCAGUGAACAUUUCCUCUUUUAUGUAGAUUUCCUAUACAGUAUGCCACUCGUUUUUUCUAAUUGAUCUCACAUAUACGAUAUUUUUUUUUAAACUGACCGCGUGCAGAAUCAAUCAAAAUGUAUUUUACAUUCAACAGUUCUUUUAGAGAAAGGUCUAUCAAUGUUCUCAUUAAAAUUAUUUGUAAUUUCAGCUAAACCUUCAUGGCGAUAUUUUUUUACGGGACGGGAAAAUUUUCUCAUAUACCGGUCAUGAAAGGAUUUAGGUCUGCUGCAUCUCCGUAUGUUUUCUAUAUCACCGCGAUGUUCAUACCUCUUCAAAAAAUGUCAACGGGUCUUUGUGUAAUGCCGGUCAGUCUGACUAUUUCACUUUUUCGGUAACCUGCAUCAUUUAAUGCAGCGAAAUCCCUUUUCUGAUAAGAUGUCAGUUCUUUUCCCCUUCGACCCAUUUUAUUUACAAGACAAGGUUGAUGCCAUCAUGCACGUGUCACAUGACAACCACAUGUUUUUCUACAGAUCAAUUUAUAUUUAAAUUUAGAUUCACGGUCAUCCAGAUUGUGACAUGGAGACGACGGCCAAAACUUGUUUAACCUUCCAUGACGUGACCGCAAUUGUUGUUUUUACGAAUACUUAUGGCAGAAUACUGUAUAAUUGCUACAUGUAUCUUCAAUGAAAACAGCUUUUCAGAAAAGCCCUGAUUUAUUUUUCUGCAAACUUUGUCACUUUGGUUGACUUAGUAAGGACUUUCCUUGCAAAAUAAAAAUGUUGAUUUAUUGGAAAUUGCUUAUUGAUGAGAUGUGUUACGUGCCCACUUUUGUCAGUCAAUAUUUUCACCAAAUUAUACCACACCACACAGUGCCGUUAUAUUAGUUAGAGUUAUUGUACAAUUGAUUAUCUUGAUAUUGAUGUUUCUCUUUUUUUCUAACGGUCAUUCGAAUAUUCCUGCUAAAAAGAAGUCGUCGAAAUUUUUGCUUCCUCUUUUCAGAUAUUAUUCCACGAGUUUGAAAAUUCUUCUGAUAAUGAAAAUAAAAAGUAUACAAUAAUUAUUUAUAGAUGAAGUAGGUAAUUAAUGUAUAAGGUAAAAAAAAAACAGUGCGCACUUUAUACCUUUUUCGGCCAUUUUUUUUUUACAAAAAUUAUCAACAACUAAGAAUGCAGUUAUAGUUGUUCAAAUGGGUUAACAACUUAUUGUGUGAAAUGUGAUUGUAUAAUUGUGAUAUUCUUUGAAAACGUCUUUUCAUAAAAGCGCUGUUUUGUAUUUCUUCACACUUUGUCCCUAGUUUCAACUUGUGAAACACUUUUCUUGCAAUAGAGAAACGUUGUUUUAUUCGAUAUUGCUUAUUUAUCAGAUGUUUUACGUGCUAAUUUUUUUUUUGUCAAUUUUUUCAACAAAAUUAAAUCACAACACACAGUGCCGUUAUGUUAGGUAGAAUAAACGUAAAGUUGAUUACCAUAAUAUUGAUGUUCCGCUUUUUUCUAACGGUCAUUUGAAUAUACCUGUUAAAAAAGUCGCCGAAAUUUUUGCUUCUACUUUUGUGAGAUUAUUCGACAAGAUGAUCAUUUUUUUCUGAAAUUAAUAAUAAAACUAAGUCAAUAAUUGUAAAUUGAUGAAGUAAGUUAUCAAUGUAUAAUAGAAAACAGUGCAUACUUUAUAAUUUUUUCAUUAGGCUUUUGUUCAAAAUAAUAAACAGCUAAGAAUGCAGUUCUUUUUGUUCGAAUGGGUUAACAACUAAUUGUGUGAAAUGUGAAGGUAUAAUUAUAAAUGCGGUUCGUGUUGUUUAUUCUUUAGUUUUCUAUGUUGUAUCAUGUGUACUAUUGUUUGUCUGUUUGAACUUUUUAUUUUUAGCCAUGGUGUUGUCAGUUUAUUUUCGAUUUAUGAGUUUGACUGUCCCUCUUGUAUCUUUCGUUCCUCUUUUAUUAUGUUCAUUGAAAACAUCUUUUCAUAAAAGCGCUGAUUUAUUUUUUUAUAAACCUUGUCAUUGGUUCGGACUUUGAAAGGACUUUCGUUGCAAUAGAAAAACGUUGUUUUAUUAGAAAUUGAUAAUAAUUAGAGAUGUUUUACGUGCCUACUUUUUUUUGUCAAUAUUUUCAACAAAAUUAGAUCACACCACACAGUGCAGAUAUAUUAGGUACAAUAAAUGUAAAAUUGAUUACCUUGAUAUUGAUGUUUCGCUUUUUUCCUAAUGGUCAUUCGAGUAUACCUGCUAACAAAAGUCGCCGAAAUAUUUGUUUCCUUUUUUGUGAGAUUAUUCGACGUCGAGUUUAAAAACUCUUCUGAAUUUAAUAAUCAUUGACCACACUUUGUUGUCAAUUAUGUCAAAGUAUUUUAAGGCAUUUAUGUUCCCGUCAAUAACAGUUAAUAAUUCCCACGUCAUUGUAAUUAAUACAUCCCCAGAUCAUCAAACAAUAGUUGCGCUGAGACGGAAGGAAAAUACAAUCCAUCAACCACUCUUCUCCGACCUUCUCUAGACAUUGGCUGAAGAAUUUUGCCGUAUGACUACCUUUCACUUAUCGUUGAAUAUCCAUUUACUCCAGUGUACAUUUCCUCUUUUAUGUAGAUUUCCUAUGCAGUAUGCCACUCGUUUUUUCUAAUUGAUCUCACAUAUACGAUAUUUUUUUUUAAACUGACCGCGUGCAGAAUCAAUCAAAAUGUAUUUUACAUUCAACAGUUCUUUUAGAGAAAGGUCUAUCAAUGUUCUCAUUAAAAUUAUUUGUAAUUUCAGCUAAACCUUCAUGGCGAUAUUUUUUUACGGGACGGGAAAAUUUUCUCAUAUACCGGUCAUGAAAGGAUUUAGGUCUGCUGCAUCUCCGUAUGUUUUCUAUAUCACCGCGAUGUUCAUACCUCUUCAAAAAAUGUCAACGGGUCUUUGUGUAAUGCCGGUCAGUCUGACUAUUUCACUUUUUCGGUAACCUGCAUCAUUUAAUGCAGCGAAAUCCCUUUUCUGAUAAGAUGUCAGUUCUUUUCCCCUUCGACCCAUUUUAUUUACAAGACAAGGUUGAUGCCAUCAUGCACGUGUCACAUGACAACCACAUGUUUUUCUACAGAUCAAUUUAUAUUUAAAUUUAGAUUCACGGUCAUCCAGAUUGUGACAUGGAGACGACGGCCAAAACUUGUUUAACCUUCCAUGACGUGACCGCAAUUGUUGUUUUUACGAAUACUUAUGGCAGAAUACUGUAUAAUUGCUACAUGUAUCUUCAAUGAAAACAGCUUUUCAGAAAAGCCCUGAUUUAUUUUUCUGCAAACUUUGUCACUUUGGUUGACUUAGUAAGGACUUUCCUUGCAAAAUAAAAAUGUUGAUUUAUUGGAAAUUGCUUAUUGAUGAGAUGUGUUACGUGCCCACUUUUGUCAGUCAAUAUUUUCACCAAAUUAUACCACACCACACAGUGCCGUUAUAUUAGUUAGAGUUAUUGUACAAUUGAUUAUCUUGAUAUUGAUGUUUCUCUUUUUUUCUAACGGUCAUUCGAAUAUUCCUGCUAAAAAGAAGUCGUCGAAAUUUUUGCUUCCUCUUUUCAGAUAUUAUUCCACGAGUUUGAAAAUUCUUCUGAUAAUGAAAAUAAAAAGUAUACAAUAAUUAUUUAUAGAUGAAGUAGGUAAUUAAUGUAUAAGGUAAAAAAAAAACAGUGCGCACUUUAUACCUUUUUCGGCCAUUUUUUUUUUACAAAAAUUAUCAACAACUAAGAAUGCAGUUAUAGUUGUUCAAAUGGGUUAACAACUUAUUGUGUGAAAUGUGAUUGUAUAAUUGUGAUAUUCUUUGAAAACGUCUUUUCAUAAAAGCGCUGUUUUGUAUUUCUUCACACUUUGUCCCUAGUUUCAACUUGUGAAACACUUUUCUUGCAAUAGAGAAACGUUGUUUUAUUCGAUAUUGCUUAUUUAUCAGAUGUUUUACGUGCUAAUUUUUUUUGUCAAUUUUUUCAACAAAAUUAAAUCACAACACACAGUGUCGUUAUGUUAGGUAGAAUAAACGUAAAGUUGAUUACCAUAAUAUUGAUGUUCCGCUUUUUUCUAACGGUCAUUUGAAUAUACCUGUUAAAAAAGUCGCCGAAAUUUUUGCUUCUACUUUUGUGAGAUUAUUCCACAAGAUGAUCAUUUUUUCUGAAAUUAAUAAUAAAACUAAGUCAAUAAUUGUAAAUUGAUGAAGUAAGUUAUCAAUGUAUAAUAGAAAACAGUGCAUACUUUAUAAUUUUUUCAUAAGGCUUUUGUUCAAAAUAAUAAACAGCUAAGAAUGCAGUUCUUUUUGUUCGAAUGGGUUAACAACUAAUUGUGUGAAAUGUGAAGGUAUAAUUAUAAAUGCGGUUCGUGUUGUUUAUUCUUUAGUUUUCUAUGUUGUAUCAUGUGUACUAUUGUUUGUCUGUUUGAACUUUUUAUUUUUAGCCAUGGUGUUGUCAGUUUAUUUUCGAUUUAUGAGUUUGACUGUCCCUCUUGUAUCUUUCGUUCCUCUUUUAUUAUGUUCAUUGAGAACAUCUUUUCAUAAAAGCGCUGAUUUAUUUUUUUAUAAACCUUGUCAUUGGUUCGGACUUUGAAAGGACUUUCGUUGCAAUAGAAAAACGUUGUUUUAUUAGAAAUUGAUAAUAAUUGAGAUGUUUUACGUGCCUACUUUUUUUUGUCAAUUUUUUUCAACAAAAUUAGAUCACACCACACAGUGCAGAUAUAUUAGGUACAAUAAAUGUAAAAUUGGUUACCUUGAUAUUGAUCAUUCGCUUUUUUCCUAAUGGUCAUUCGAGUAUACCUGCUAACAAAAGUCGCCGAAAUAUUUGUUUCCUUUUUUGUGAGAUUAUUCGACGUCGAGUUUAAAAACUCUUCUGAAUUUAAUAAUCAUUGACCACACUUUGUUGUCAAUUAUGUCAAAGUAUUUUAAGGCAUUUAUGUUCCCGUCAAUAACAGUUAUAUUUUUCACGUCAUUGUAAUUAAUACAUCCCCAGAUCAUCAAACAAUAGUUGCGCUGAGACGGAAGGAAAAUACAAUCCAUCAACCACUCUUCUCCGACCUUCUCUAGACAUUGGCUGAAGAAUUUUGCCGUAUGACUACCUUUCACUUAUCGUUGAAUAUCCAUUUACUCCAGUGUACAUUUCCUCUUUUAUGUAGAUUUCCUAUGCAGUAUGCCACUCGUUUUUUCUAGUUGAUCUCACAUAUACGAUAUUUUUUUCUAAACUGACCGCGUGCGGAAUCAAUCAAAUUGUAUUUUACAUUCAACAGUUCUUUUAGAGAAAGGUCUAUCAAUGUUCUCAUUAAAAUUAUUUGUAAUUUCCGCUAAACCUUUACGGCGAUAUUUUUUUACGCCACCGGAAAAUUUUCUUUUAUACCGAUCAUGAAAGGAUUUAGGUCUGCUGCAUCUCCGUAUGUUUUCUAUAUCACCGCGAUGUUCAUACCUCUUUAAAAAUAUAUCAACGGGUCUUUGUUUCAUGCCAAUCAAUCUGACUAUUUCCCUUUUUCGGUAACCUGCAUCAUUUAAUGCAGCGAGAUAGCUUUUCUGAUAAGAUGUCAGUUCUUUUCCCCUGCGACCCAUUUUUUUUCACAAGACAAGAAUAAUGCCAUCACGCACGUGUCACAUGACAACCACAUGUUUUUUCUACAGAACAAUCUAUAUUUAAAUUUAGAUUCACUGUCAUACCGAUUGUGACAUGGAGACGACGCAAAUUGUUUUUUUACAAACACUUAUGGCAGA
rnacentral:lncRNA from 1 species